UACGGAGGGGGCUAGCGUUGUUCGGAAUUACUGGGCGUAAAGGGUGCGUAGGCGGCUAUCCAAGUCAGACGUGAAAGGCCUGGGCUCAACCCGGGAACUGCGUUUGAGACUGGGUGGCUGGAGUCCGGGAGAGGUGAGCGGAAUUCCCAGUGUAGAGGUGAAAUUCGUAGAUAUUGGGAAGAACACCGGUGGCGAAGGCGGCUCACUGGACCGGUACUGACGCUGAGGCACGAAAGCCAGGGGAGCAAACGGG
rnacentral:rRNA from 1 species